rnacentral:rRNA from 1 species
GACGAACCGUGCGGACGUUGUUCGGAAUCACUGGGCUUAAAGGGCGCGUAGGCGGGCGGCCGCGUCCGGGGUGAAAUACCACGGCUCAACCGUGGAACGGCCUCGGAUACGGGCGGCCUCGAGGGAGGUAGGGGCAUCGGGAACUGUGAGUGGAGCGGUGAAAUGCGUUGAUAUUCACAGGAACUCCGGUGGCGAAGGCGCGGUGCUGGACCUCAUCUGACGCUGAGGCGCGAAAGCCAGGGGAGCGAACGGG